rnacentral:rRNA from 1 species
CCUACGGGAGGCAGCAGUGGGGAAUAUUGGACAAUGGGCGAAAGCCUGAUCCAGCCAUGCCGCGUGUGUGAAGAAGGUAUUCGGAUUGUAAAGCACUUUAAGUGGGAGGAAGGGCAGUUUAAGAAAAGCAAAACCUACGGUAAUACGGGAGGCAGCAGAACGCGGAAAACCG